GCAUUUCGUUGUGGUGGAUAUUAUGCGUGCAUUAAAGAAGCCAAGGCCGAGCACGAUUGGAUAGCCCAAGUUGUGGGCUCAUCCGAAAAGUAUUAAAACAAAUACUAAUAGCGUGUGUCGGCAUGCUCCUUAUGCUUCGGCAAUGAUUGAACUGGAUGGUUAUCCUCUUACAUUGGAAGGCUUUGGGUGAAGGCUCUUGUGAUGUUAUAAUAAGGAAUUCUGAAUGUUAUGACAAUGUCACUAGUCUGAAAGAUUUGGAAUUUUUUUAACAUCAUUUUAAAAAGUUUUCAAAUACAGACAUGGCAAUUUUGUUCCAAUAGGUUUUAAGUCUGUAUACGUACCUUGAGAAACUCAGAAGCAUCAGGUAGCCGCUGGAGCUCAUUCUAGUCGAAGCAGGCAAGUUGAAGCUGUACGUUUGAUGAAUGAGGAACUCAAUGAGACUGCUUCAACAAGUUCAGGUGCUACAGACACUGAUAUUAUUGACAAGGAAAUGAAGAAAGAAGGUAGUUCAAAGUGGAUGUCCAAAGGGAAAAGGAAGUUGAGAAUUAACAGCAGAAGCAAAAGCAAGAGUUUGAAAAAACUAUUGAGGAUAAAUCAAAUGGUUGUUUGACAGUUCCCUCAAUACUUUUGUCAAACUCCAUGCUUCUGCUUCUGCUGCUAAUUCUCAACUUCCUUUUUCCUUUAGACAUCCACUUUGAACAACCUACUUUCCAUCUCCUUGUCAAUAUCAGUGUCUGUAGCACCUGAGCUUGUUGAAGCAGUCUCGUUGAGUUCCUCAUUUAUCAAACAUUCAGCUUCAACUUGCCUGCUUCGACUUGAAUGAGCUCCGGCGGGUACCUGAGGCUUCUGAGUUGCACAAGGUAAGCCUAUUCUUGCAAAUUCUCUCACAUGGAAGAAUGAAAUCUUACCUUCUGCCAAGAUUGUGUUGAAUAUGAAACUGGGGACCCCCUCCCUCACAAAAUACCAGCUACAGUAUAGUGUAUGAAGCUCUUGUUUAAUGUGCAUGGUUUAGUACCUAUAGUGAAAGGCUAGUUCGAUGGCAAGAGCUGAAUAAUGUGCAUGGUUCGGAUAGCUGGACUCCAGGUAUGACUGAUUUCUCUGAUUGUUUAGCGACGCUAAAUUUGGUUGAUUUAAGAAGUAUUGGCUCAAGCUAAAUUUUUGCUGAAGGCUUUGUAGUAUCAUUGUCCUGCAGCUGUUCAAUUGGGGCUUCCUGAACUAAAAUGUCUGAAAACUGCUUACCUUGAAGCUCUUAAAGCUGAAGAAAUUUUCUUGAAACAAAAGUCUCUGGUUCAAUGGUUGGACAGUGGAGAUAAAAACAGUAGGUUCUUCUUCCAAGUUCCAAGCAUGCUAUGGUAAACGGAAUCCUAAGAGAAUUCUCUCUCGAAGAUGAUGCAGCUUUACCCUAUUCACAGAAAAAUCACCACUAGUUCUAUAGCAGCUGAGUAUUACACUCGUAUCUUCUCAAAUAGAAUCACUGAUUGCUCUAAUCUCUUCCUCUGAAAUUUGGGCAACUUUCUAAAACAUGGGAAAGCACAAAAGUCCAGGCCUUGAUGGCUUUACAGCAGAGUUAUCUCUAGCAGCUUGGUCUAUUAUCAACGCGGAUGUCAUCAAGGGUAUUUUGCAUUUCUUUCAGAAUAGCUCUUCCUAGGAUGAUCAACGCGACUGGAAUGUUUUUAAUCAUAAAGCAACACAGUCCAACUUCCAUGGCGCAUUUCAGGCCUAUCUCUUGUUGCAAUACUUUAUGGAAAUGCAUUUCUGGAAUCAUUGCCAAUCCUUUUAUUGAAGAUUUUACCUUCAUUGAUCUCCCCGUGUCAAGCAGCUUUCUGCCUUUCUUCCCGGGACAAUUAAUGGGAUAUGCAGAGGAUAUCGCCACUUCAAGCAGCUGAGGCUUUGAGUUUAGCCAAAGAGAAGGUUAAACACAGGGUUUUCUAGCAUGAGAAAUUUCAAAUUAGAUAGUACUAAUUCAGUUGUGACUGUUUCUUCAAUUUUAUGAUGAAUGUAGUACUACAAUUUCUGAAAUGAUUAAUCUAGUGUCUUUAAUCUUC